rnacentral:rRNA from 1 species
ACGGGAGGCAGCAGUGGGGAAUUUUGCACAAUGGGGGAAACCCUGAUGCAGCGACGCCGCGUGAGCGAAGAAGUAUUUCGGUAUGUAAAGCUCUAUCAGCUGGGAAGAGAAUGACGGUACCUGACUAAGAAGCACCGGCUAAAUACGUGCCAGCAGCCGCGGUAAUACGUAUGGUGAAAGCGUUAUCCGGAUUUACUGGGUGUAAAGGGAGCGUAGGCGGUUUGGCAAGCCAGAAGUGAAAACCCGUGGCUCAACCAUGAGGAUUGCUUUUGGAACUGUUGGACUAGAGUGCAGGAGGGGUAAGUGGAAUUCCCAGUGUAGCGGUGAAAUGCUUAGAUAUUGGGAGGAACACCAGUGGCGAAGGCGGCUUACUGGACUGUAACUGACGCUGAGGCUCGAAAGCGUGGGGAGCAAACAGGAUUAGAUACCCUGGUA